AGAGGGAUACCUAAAUACAAAAACUGAGUGAAAACACCAAAGGAUGAGCCAAGUUUGCCAAUGUCUGUUGAUUCUACUUUUGGCUUUAUAUAAGCAAUAUCUACUGAGAACAAUUGAAUAGCAUUUAUAGCAGACUUGCCCUUUUUAGUGCUCUGUGGGAAGAAACUGAAAAGAAAAAAAGACAAAGUAGCUCCCAGUCUACAGGAACUGCAGUCUAACUGGAUAACAAAUCUAUGCAUUGAAAUGCAUUCAGUGCCCUUACAAAUAAGUACAAAGGCUGAAGCAAAUUAAGACAAUGAGGAUGGAAUAAGAAAAUGCUUAUUAGAAACAGACC
rnacentral:lncRNA from 1 species